rnacentral:lncRNA from 1 species
CUGGUGUAGAUCCUUAAUAAAGAUCCAGCAUCCCAAACUCUGAGUCUUCUCCCAAAGAACCCAACCUGUGACACAGUGGACAUCUGGGCAGGGGGCAUUGGUGACCACAGGGACAGCACUUGGUACUAGCUCGUCUCACCCAAGGGCAGCAGAUGUGGAACUGGCCAACCAGGGGGGCAACUUGCUCACCCCCAGGCAGGAAAGUCCCCGUGAACGUUCCGGUCUAUCAGCUUAGCCAAGGAGAAUUGAGGGAGAGGAUAUAGAUGCGUUUCGAUUUGGACCUCAAAAAUAAAAACUGG